rnacentral:rRNA from 1 species
UACGUAGGGGGCAAGCGUUGUCCGGAUUUAUUGGGCGUAAAGAGCGUGUAGGCGGCCAGGUAGGUCCGUUGUGAAAACUGGAGGCUUAACCUCCAGCUGUCGAUGGAAACCAUCUGGCUAGAGUCCGGAAGAGGAGAGUGGAAUUCCUGGUGUAGCGGUGAAAUGCGCAGAUAUCAGGAAGAACACCCGUGGCGAAGGCGGCUCUCUGGGACGGUACUGACGCUGAGGAGCGAAAGCAUGGGUAGCGAACAGG